CAAUAGCGUAUAUUAAAGUUGUUGCAGUUAAAAAGCUCGUGGUCGGAUUUCGGGUCGGGCCGAGCGGUCUGCCGAUGGGUAUGCACUGUUCGGCGCGGCCUUCUUUCCGGAGACCGCGGCUACUCUUAACUGAGCGGGCGUGGGAGACGGAUCGUUUACUUUGAAAAAAUCAGAGUGUUUCAAGCAGGCAGCUCGCUCUUGCAUGGAUUAGCAUGGGAUAAUGAAAUAGGACUCUGGUGCUAUUUUGUUGGUUUCGAACACCGGAGUAAUGAUUAACAGGGACAGUCAGGGGCACUCGUAUUCCGUCGAGAGAGGUGAAAUUCUCAGACCAAUGGAAGACGAACCACUGCGAAAGCAUUUGCCAGGGAUGUUUUCACUGA
rnacentral:rRNA from 1 species